ACAAGCCUAUACUCUUCACUAUUGCAUCUAUCAAUUCAAUGCAGCAAAGAUAGAUUUUAAUAAACAUUAACCUACUUUACAGUCAUUCAUCACUACAUUUGUAAGUCUUCUUUGGUACUUCCUCUGCAUGAAGUCAAUUUAGAAAACUUAACUCGCAAAUUUUUAGUCCAUGAAGCUUGCACGCUUGAGGUUUUAUUGAUUACCUUCUCGUUGUGUUGCUAUGCUCCU
rnacentral:lncRNA from 1 species